AGCGAGGUUGCCCUUUGUAUAUUCGGUUUAUUGACAUGGAAUAUACAAGGGCAAGCUCUCUGU
rnacentral:pre_miRNA from 6 species